rnacentral:rRNA from 1 species
GCGACUUGUACUGUGAAACUGCGAAUGGCUCAUUAAAUCAGUUAUGGUUUCUUUGAUGGUACCUUGCUACUUGGAUACCCGUAGUAAUUCUAGAGCUAAUACAUGCAGGAGUGCCCGACUUCGGAAGGGCUGUAUUUAUUAGAUAAGAAACCUUCUCGGGUUCGCCCGGUUGUGUGCUGAGUCAUAAUAACUGCUCGAAUCGCACGGCUCUACGCCGGCGAUGGUUCAUCCAAAUUUCUGCCCUAUCAGCUUUCGAUGGUAGGAUAGAGGCCUACCAUGGCGUUAACGGGUAACGGAGAAUUAGGGUUCGAUUCCGGAGAGGGAGCCUGAGAAAUGGCUACCACAUCCAAGGAAGGCAGCAGGCGCGUAAAUUGCCCGAAUCCUGACACAGGGAGGUAGUGACAAGAAAUAACAAUACAGGGCUACUUCUAGUCUUGUAAUUGGAAUGAGUACAACUUACAUCUCUUCACGAGGAUCAACUGGAAGGCAAGUCUGGUGCCAGCAGCCGCGGUAAUUCCAGCUCCAGAAGCGUAUAUUAAAGUUGUUGCAGUUAAAACGCUCGUAGUCGGGUUUCGGGUCGGGCCGAGCGGUCUGCCGAUGGGUAUGCACUGUUUGGCGCGGCCUUCUUUCCGGAGACCGCGGCUACUCUUAACUGAGCGGGGCGUGGGAGACGGAUCCUUUAC